UCAAGUGAAUAAGUGCAUCAGGUGGAUGCCUUGGCGAUGAUAGGCGACGAAGGACGUGUAAGCCUGCGAAAAGCGUGGGGGAGCUGGCAAUAAAGCUAUGAUCCCGCGAUGUCCGAAUGGGGAAACCCACUGCAUUCUGUGCAGUAUCCUAAGUUGAAUACAUAGACUUAGAGAAGCGAACCCGGAGAACUGAACCAUCUAAGUACCCGGAGGAAAAGAAAUCAACCGAGAUUCCGCAAGUAGUGGCGAGCGAACGCGGAGGAGCCUGUACGUAAUAACUGUCGAGAUAGAAGAACAAGCUGGGAAGCUUGACCAUAGUGGGUGAUAGUCCCGUAUUCGAAAUCUCAAUGGUGGUACUAAGCGUACGAAAAGUAGGGCGGGACACGUGAAAUCCUGUCUGAAUAUGGGGGGACCAUCCUCCAAGGCUAAAUACUCAUCAUCGACCGAUAGUGAACCAGUACCGUGAGGGAAAGGCGAAAAGAACCCCGGGAGGGGAGUGAAAUAGAACCUGAAACCUGAUGCAUACAAACAGUGGGAGCACCCUUGUGGUGUGACUGCGUACCUUUUGUAUAAUGGGUCAACGACUUACAUUCAGUAGCGAGCUUAACCGAAUAGGGGAGGCGUAGGGAAACCGAGUCUUAAUAGGGCGAAGAGUUGCUGGGUGUAGACCCGAAACCGAGUGAUCUAUCCAUGGCCAGGUUGAAGGUGCCGUAACAGGUACUGGAGGACCGAACCCACGCAUGUUGCAAAAUGCGGGGAUGAGCUGUGGAUAGGGGUGAAAGGCUAAACAAACUCGGAGAUAGCUGGUUCUCCCCGAAAACUAUUUAGGUAGUGCCUCGAGCAAGACACUGAUGGGGGUAAAGCACUGUUAUGGCUAGGGGGUUAUUGCAACUUACCAACCCAUGGCAAACUAAGAAUACCAUCAAGUGGUUCCUCGGGAGACAGACAGCGGGUGCUAACGUCCGUUGUCAAGAGGGAAACAACCCAGACCGCCAGCUAAGGUCCCAAAUGAUAGAUUAAGUGGUAAACGAAGUGGGAAGGCCCAGACAGCCAGGAUGUUGGCUUAGAAGCAGCCAUCAUUUAAAGAAAGCGUAAUAGCUCACUGGUCGAGUCGUCCUGCGCGGAAGAUGUAACGGGGCUCAAAUCUAUAACCGAAGCUGCGGAUGCCAGUUUACUGGCAUGGUAGGGGAGCGUUCUGUAGGCCGAUGAAGGUGCAUUGUAAAGUGUGCUGGAGGUAUCAGAAGUGCGAAUGUUGACAUGAGUAGCGAUAAAGCGGGUGAAAAGCCCGCUCGCCGAAAGCCCAAGGUUUCCUACGCAACGUUCAUCGGCGUAGGGUGAGUCGGCCCCUAAGGCGAGGCAGAAAUGCGUAGUCGAUGGGAAACAGGUUAAUAUUCCUGUACUUGAUUCAAAUGCGAUGUGGGGACGGAGAAGGUUAGGUUAGCAAGCUGUUGGAAUAGCUUGUUUAAGCCGGUAGGUGGAAGACUUAGGCAAAUCCGGGUCUUCUUAACACCGAGAAGUGACGACGAGUGUCUACGGACAUGAAGUAACCGAUACCACGCUUCCAGGAAAAGCCACUAAGCUUCAGUUUGAAUCGAACCGUACCGCAAACCGACACAGGUGGGCAGGAUGAGAAUUCUAAGGCGCUUGAGAGAACUCGGGAGAAGGAACUCGGCAAAUUGAUACCGUAACUUCGGGAGAAGGUAUGCCCUCUAAGGUUAAGGACUUGCUCCGUAAGCCCUGGAGGGUCGCAGAGAAUAGGUGGCUGCGACUGUUUAUUAAAAACACAGCACUCUGCUAACACGAAAGUGGACGUAUAGGGUGUGACGCCUGCCCGGUGCUGGAAGGUUAAUUGAAGAUGUGAGAGCAUCGGAUCGAAGCCCCAGUAAACGGCGGCCGUAACUAUAACGGUCCUAAGGUAGCGAAAUUCCUUGUCGGGUAAGUUCCGACCCGCACGAAUGGCGUAACGAUGGCCACACUGUCUCCUCCCGAGACUCAGCGAAGUUG
rnacentral:rRNA from 1 species